rnacentral:rRNA from 1 species
AUUGAACGCUGGCGGCAUGCUUUACACAUGCAAGUCGAACGGCAGCGCGGGCUUCGGCCUGGCGGCGAGUGGCGAACGGGUGAGUAAUACAUCGGAACGUGCCCAGUAGUGGGGGAUAGCUCGGCGAAAGCCGGAUUAAUACCGCAUACGACCUGAGGGUGAAAGCGGGGGAUCUUCGGACCUCGCGCUAUUGGAGCGGCCGAUGGCAGAUUAGCUAGUUGGUGGGGUAAAGGCCUACCAAGGCGACGAUCUGUAGCUGGUCUGAGAGGACGACCAGCCACACUGGGACUGAGACACGGCCCAGACUCCGACGGGAGGCAGCAGUGGGGAAUUUUGGACAAGGGGCGAAAGCCUGAUCCAGCAAUGCCGCGUGUGGGAUGAAGGCCUUCGGGUUGUAAAGCACUUUUGGCGGGAACGAAAAGGACUGUGCCAAUACCACGGUUCGAUGACGGUACCCGCAGAAUAAGCACCGGCUAACUACGUG